GAGUGAAAGAAUGGCCAGCCGGACGUAAUCGCAUCAGGAAUAUACAAUGUCUAAUGCAAUUACCGGUUCCGUCCGUCAUUAAGAGUCCCCGAUACGAAUACGGAUAGGAUAUGCACGGUCAAUUAGCUGCGCUCGCUAAAAAGUGGACAAGAAAAGAGACCUUAACAAGGAAGAAGAAGACAAGAGAUUAACGGGCGCUGCUCGCCAGGAACGCCAGGACGGAUGGAUGGCGAUGCAAUCGAUGCCAAUUAGAACGAUUAUACGUCCAUUUCCGCAUUUUAUUUUGAUCGUUCUUCGAGCCAAACUACUACUACUACUUUGAGAGAGAGAGAGAGAGAGAGUCGAGUUUCGAAGAACAACUUAUGCUAUUAAGGAUUCCCGAAGUAAUCAAUUAUUUCACGAUGCAAACUUUCACGAAAUGCUACCAUAAAACUUUACUUCAUUACACAAAAGUUUCGUUUCAGAAAAGUUGAAUUUUCGUGUGUGUAUGUAUAUAUGGAGAUAUAUACAAACAUAUACAUAUGUAUUCGAAUGUAUCCUAUCCCUCCAUAUUCGAAGCCCAAGCCCAAGCCCAAGUAAGUAUGCUAUGAUUCGGCUCUCGAGUCUCGAGACUCGAGUUCAUUGAAGCAAUUACAAAAAAAUGUUUGCUUGCCUGAACUUUCAAUAUACAGUGAUCUAAACUUAAGUAUAACAUUUAACUAAGAAACUUAAAACAAUAAUUUAAAAAAAAAAAAUUAGUAAGGAUAGAUUUCAUAAAUAAUUCAAAAAUCAAUGUUAAGUUUUAAUAUUAUUCUUUCUUGGUUCCUUUUAGGGACUGCCCACCGUAGGCCCACUCCUCUACUUUCUUCCUCUUCUUACAAAAACAACGGCAAAUCAUUUCACUUUCGCACCUUCUACGCAUCAACACCAAAACGAAAACGAAACAAAAACAACAACAACAACACGCACACAGACACCAAGUAGCCACAUUGGCGUUCAUGCAUGUACAUAUGUGUAAUUGGUAUUUGCAGCCAUGUUGUGUGAGUGUGUGUGUGUAUUGCCGAAAUAUGUUGAGAGUUAUUUUGUUAUUUUUUUUUUUGGAGAAAUAUUUGGAAUGUGUUGGGAGGGGGAGGAGAAAACGGAGCUGGAGAGAAGGUAAAAGUUGAUUCUCACUCACCG